rnacentral:rRNA from 1 species
CUGCUGCCUCCCGUAGGAGUCUGGUCCGUGUCUCAGUACCAGUGUGGGGGACCUUCCUCUCAGAACCCCUACGCAUCGUCGCCUUGGUGGGCCGUUACCCCGCCAACUAGCUAAUGCGACGCAUGACCAUCCGUAGCCGGAAUCGCUUCCUUUAAACCCGAGGAGAUGCCUCCUCGGGUUGUUACGCGGUAUUAGACGGAAUUUCUUCCGCUUAUCCCCUGCUACGGGCAGGUUUCAUACGUGUUACUCACCCGUGCGCCGGUCGCCGGCGGGAGUA